rnacentral:lncRNA from 10 species
CUGACAAACGGUUUAUAUCAGAAGGUGGAAUCGUGGGUAUGGUCGAUGUGGCAGGUCCUAAACAUAAAUUGGGUUUCUUUUUUAUUUUCAUUUAUUAAAUACAGAAGAAAUAUUUCGCUGAAGACACAGGAAACCCUAUUUUGUAUAAACGAGGGAUUGCAAGAGAUUGUUGGAAGAUCAAAGAUGGGUGAAUUGGAGGAACACAAAAAAAGCAAGAGAACCAAGGGUUGUGAAAUGCAAGAGCUGAGAUAUAAGUUCAGAGAAGGAAAAACUUAAGAACGACUAAAGCCACAUUUGAGGCUGCCGAGGGAUACUUUGUUCCAGGAAUCAGGCCACAUACAGAAAUACAGAGUGAAGAUGUGGGGAGAGGACUUAUGACAGAAUCAUAAUUAAGACGCAAUUCAUAAUUAAGACAUGAAUCUCGACAGAGCUGAAAAGUUACUCUGACAUUUGCCGAGACCAGCUUGGUCGGGAAGACCCUAACCCAGCGGUGCUAGAGGAAUUAAAGACACACACACAGAAAUAUAGAGAUGUGGACUGGGAAAUCAGGGAUCUCACAGCCUUCAGAGCUGAGAGCCUCGAACAGAGAUUUACUCACGUAUUUAUUAACAGCAAGCCACUGAUAAGCAUUGUUUCUGUAGAUUAUAGAUUAACUAAAAGUAUUCCUUACAGGAAAUAAAGGGAGGAAACGGGAAGGCUGGAACCAUGUCCAGCUGGGAUAAGGCUUCAGUCUCAUCCUGUGAUGAAGAAAUUUUCCCUGUAGAACAGGCCUUUGUUAUGGAGAAAAAUUAGGUUCUUUACUGAUCUUCAAAGAAGGCAGGAUUUGUUCAGACAGAGAAGCCACUUAUCGCCACAGAGGAUUUUGGAUCCUUUUGGCCCUGCCUUCUGUCUGCCUAUAGAAUGGAAGAACUGUUUCUUCAGAUCUCAACUCUGAAAACAUGUCUGAGGUCAGACUGCCUAGGCCAAAAGGCACACACCAUGAAGGACAGGAGUGCUGAAGUUUGAAACUGAAUGCUAUGCUCAAAGUCAAGUAAAAUGAAAGUUCUGCUUUUAAAGGGGGAAGAAACUUACAGGAGACAAAUGGGGAAAGCAAACGAUUCUAAGUGGGAUAGGUGUAGAACAUCAUAGGUAUGUAUGGGUUCAAGAUUAUAUGAGUGGAAUAUAUUAUCAUGGAUUUCUUCCUGAGAACAAAAAGGAUUUAUGAAGGAAAAAG